AGUGAACGCUGGCGGUAGGCCUAACACAUGCAAGUCGAACGGCAGCACAGUAAGAGCUUGCUCUUACGGGUGGCGAGUGGCGGACGGGUGAGGAAUACAUCGGAAUCUACUUUUUCGUGGGGGAUAACGUAGGGAAACUUACGCUAAUACCGCAUACGACCUACGGGUGAAAGCAGUGGAUCUUCGGACCUUGCGGGAUUGAAUGAGCCGAUGUCGGAUUAGCUAGUUGGCGGGGUAAUGGCCCACCAAGGCGACGAUCCGUAGCCGGCCUGAGAGGGUGAGCGGCCACCUUGCGACUGAGGGACGGCCCAGAGGGGUAAGGGAGGAAGCAGUGGGGAAUCUUGCACCAUGCGCGCAAGGCGGAUGAAGCAACGCUGCGUGUGGGAAGCCCGUUUUCGGGGGGAAAAAAGCCUUCGGGUGAAACCCCGCGUGUGUGACGGUAACCGAUAAAGAAGCACCGGCUAACUACGUG
rnacentral:rRNA from 1 species